AUGAUGAGAAGGCAUGGUAUUCUCUUCUGAGCAUGGAGCUGGCUUUAAGUGUUGCUUCUACAACUGCCUAUUGCCAUUGAUGAUCAGUCUUCUCCUCCUUUGGGGAAGUAAGAGGGAGAUGAUGCACUCUGUGU
rnacentral:snoRNA from 1 species